rnacentral:rRNA from 1 species
ACGGCCGUACCAUGCUGAAUAUACCGGUUCUCGUUAGAUCACCGAAGUUAAGCAUCAUUGGGCGCGGUCAGUACUUGGGAGGGUGACCACCUGGGAACACUGCGUGCCGU